rnacentral:rRNA from 1 species
UGGGGAAUUUUGGACAAUGGGCGAAAGCCUGAUCCAGCAAUGCCGCGUGUGUGAAGAAGGCCUUCGGGUUGUAAAGCACUUUUGUCCGGAAAGAAAUCCUUGGCUCUAAUACAGUCGGGGGGAUGACGGUACCGGAAGAAUAAGCACCGGCUAACUACGUGCCAGCAGCCGCGGUAAUACGUAGGGUGCAAGCGUUAAUCGGAAUUACCGGGCGUAAAGCGUGCGCAGGCGGUUUGCUAAGACCGAUGUGAAAUCCCCGGGCUCAACCUGGGAACUGCAUUGGUGACUGGCAGGCUAGAGUAUGGCAGAGGGGGGUAGAAUUCCACGUGUAGCAGUGAAAUGCGUAGAGAUGUGGAGGAAUACCGAUGGCGAAGGCAGCCCCCUGGGCCAAUACUGACGCUCAUGCACGAAAGCGUGGGGAGCAAACAGGAUUAGAUACCCUGGUAGUCCACGCCCUAAACGAUGUCAACUAGUUGUUGGGGAUUCAUUUCCUUAGUAACGUAGCUAACGCGUGAAGUUGACCGCCUGGGGGAGUACGGUCGCAAGAUUAAAACUUAAAGGAAUUGACGGGGUCAUAGCUGUUU